GACGAACGCUGGCGGCGUGCUUAACACAUGCAGGUCGAACGAUGAAGAAAAGAAUUGAAGCUUCGGCAGAAAUUCAUUUCGGAUUAGUGGCAGACGGGUGAGUAACGCGUGAGCAACCUACCUCUUACAAAGGGAUAGCCUCGGGAAACCGGGAUUAAUACCAUAUAACAUUGCGACGAAGCAUUUCGAUGCAAUCAAAGCUACGGCGGUAAGAGAUGGGCUCGCGUCCCAUUAACCGGAUGGUGAGGUAACGGCUCACCAUAGUGACGAUGGGUAACCGGCCUGAGAGGGUGAACGGUCACACUGGAACUGAGACACGGUCCAGACUCCUACGGGAGGCAGCAGUGGGGAAUAUUGCACAAUGGAGGGAACUCUGAUGCAGCGACGCCGCGUGAGUGAUGAAGGAAUUCGUUUCGUAAAACUCUGUUCUAUGGGAAGAAAAGGACUGUACCAUAGGAGAAAGCUCCGGCUAAAUACGUGCCAGCAGCCGCGGUAAUACGUAUGGAGCGAGCGUUGUCCGGAAUUAUUGGGCGUAAAGGGUGCGCAGGCGGCUUUACAAGUUGGAUGUGAAAUAUUGUGGCUCAACCACAAACGUGCACCCAAAACUGCAAAGCUUGAGUUAAGGAGAGGUAAGUGGAAUUCCUGGUGUAGCGGUGGAAUGCGUAGAUAUCAGGAGGAAUACCGGUGGCGAAGGCGACUUACUGGACUUAAACUGACGCUCAGGCACGAAAGCGUGGGGAGCAAACAGG
rnacentral:rRNA from 1 species